rnacentral:snRNA from 1 species
GUUCUCACUUCGGUAGCACAUAUACUGGAAUUGGAAUGAUACGAGAUUAGCAUGGCCCCUGCGCAAGGAUGACAGACAAAUCUGUGAAGCCUCUAUGUUUAA